UUAAUUGAUUCACAGAUCAUGUCAGAAAAACAUAUACUACAUGGUAAUACAGAUUGUUACAAACAAAAGCCAUCCACCAGCAGCAAGUGCAGGGUGGAAGCAACAUGGUACAAGGUCAACAUAAGGGUAUUUAAUCAUACUAUGAUUUACCAAAGUAAUUUCAAUAAUGAUCCUUCCGCAGGUUCACCUACGGAAA
rnacentral:misc_RNA from 1 species